ACAUAUGCAACUAGAGACAAAAGUUCU
rnacentral:misc_RNA from 1 species